rnacentral:lncRNA from 1 species
GUUGGGAAUCCGGUACACGCCCUGGUACCGGAUCUCGACAAUCCGCAACCCGCUGUGGUACUGACUGCUGUGGAUCCGGUAUCGAUUGUUGGGAUUCCGCAACGGAAGCGUCGAAUCCGGUUUUUACCAUAAACCCGUCUCCUCAGCAAAAGCUUUCUCUCGUCUUCUAUAAACCCACAAAGAAGACCUCUCCGCAUGUACCCGUGAACAAGGUGCACUAAAAUAACUCUCUCUCUCUUUUCUCUCCUGGUACGACACCCCAAUGAUUCCAGCCGUACUCCCUUUAAAAAAGAGAACCACAAUGCCUAUUUAUAAUGCUCAACUUAAAACGUACCCCAAUCCUAAUAUAUUUAGGAUUCAUACUUUAAUUAAUAUCUAAAUCUAUCUUAAUCAAUCUCUAAUAGAUUUAAAUAUUAAUCCUAAUCUAGUUAGGUUUAUCCUCUAAUUAAUAUUUAAAUCUUAAUUUAUCUCAAACAGAUUUAAAUAUUAAUUCUUAUCCAAAUAGGAUUUAACUACAAAUCUAACCAAAUCCUAACAUUCUCCACCUUGGUUUGAUUUGUAAUUUUCAACCGCUACGUCGAGCUCACCAUGCAAGCUCCACCUUGAGCUUGUCUCCUCCGCUCGAUGUCGCCGCAUCCGUCGCUCCGUCUCGAGCAACUGCACAUCCGCGAACUUUUGGAACCAAAACCAUCUUCGCUCCCGUUCUGGCUGUGCUCCCAUUCAGAACGUAUAAGUUCCCACGCUUGUUCGCCUCGCAUACGACCCGAUCUCGUUUUCGGACUCUCACAGCUCCACCUGAAGCUGAAAUAUCGCAACCCUUCGAGUCCAAUGUGCCUAACGAGAUCAAAUUCCGCUUCAAUUCAGGAACAUGCCGCACACCUGUCAGCGUCCUCACGACCCCAUCGUGCAUUCGGAUUUUCACCAUGCCGACUCCCAAUACUUUGCACGCUGUCCCGUUCCCCAUCAGCGCCUUUCCACCUUUGAUCGUCUUAUAGGUGGCAAAAGACUCAUUCUCCGGGCAUACGUGAAAAGAACACGCUGAAUCGAGCACCCAUGCAUCGUCCAAAAUUUUCGCACCUCCGGUCGCCGCAUACAGUACAUCAGAAUCGAUCAUCUCCGACUCUGCUGUCUGCGCCGUCGCUGAUACCGUCUCGUCCUGGUUCACGACAGUUUGCUCCUUCUGUCGCUUUAACUCCUUUAGAUCAUCCUGAAGUUUUCGACAAUUGCGCUUGACAUGCCCCUUCCUGUGACAAUAAAAGCAUUCUACCUCAAAUAGCGGUUUCUUCUGUUGAUAUCCGGUCGCCGAUAUUCUCGUCUCUUUCUUCGCAGUCACCACCAGUCCUACAUCCUGACUUUGCGUGCCGGACUCUUAAGUCAUCUUCCGCAUCUCGUUCGAGAGAAGCGCCGCCGUGACCGCCUCCACGCUUAUGGACUCCUUGCCAUAAAGCAACGUGGUCACCAAAUGCUCAUAUGUCGUCGGUAGCGAAGAUAGUAGGAUCAACGCCUUGUCUUCGUCAUCCAGAUUGACUUCGAUGCUGGUCAAUUGGGCCACCACCUUGUUGAACUCAUUUAGAUGAUCAUGUAGGCUCGCCGCUUCUUACAUCUGCAACGUAAACAGUCGCUGCUUCAGAUACAAUCUGCUCGUCAGGGAUUUGGUCAUGUACAGAUCUUUCAAUUUCUUCCACAAUUUCGUCGGUGUCGUCUCGCCGGCUACAUUGUAAAAAACCUCAUCUGCUAAUGAUAGAUGAAGCGUACUCAGCGCCUUCCGCUCUAUCUUCGUCCAUGCCGCAUCCGUGACCUCCGCCGGCUUUGCCUCCUUCCCGUUCAUCGUGUCGUCUAACUCUUGCUGUACGAGGAUUGCUUGUACUUUAAUUUGUCAUAAUCCGAAAUUGUUCUUGCCGUCGAACUUCUCGAUUUCGAAUUUCGUGGCCAUCUCCGUCGAUCUCUCCUGCAGAUCGGUAACCUUCGGCUCUGAUACCAAUUGUUGGGAAUCCGGUACUCGCCCCGGUACCGGAUCUCGACAAUCCGCAAUCCGUUGUGGUACCGACUGCUGUAGAUCCGGUAUCGAUUGUUGGGAUUCCGCAACGGAAGCGUCGAAUCCGGUUUUUACCAUAAACCCGUCUCCUCAGCAAAAGCUUUCUCUCGUCUUCUAUAAACCCACAAAGAAGACCUCUCCGUGUGUACCCGUGAACAAGGUGCACUAAAAUAACUCUCUCUCUCUUUUCUCUCCUGGUACGACACCCCAAUGAUUCCAGCCGUACUCCCUUUAAAAAAGAGAGCCACAAUGCCUAUUUAUAAUGCUCAACUUAAAACGUACCCCAAUCCUAAUAUAUUUAGAAUUCAUACUUUAAUUAAUAUCUAAAUCUAUCUUAAUCAAUCUCUAAUAGAUUUAAAUAUUAAUCAUAAUCUAGUUAGGUUUAUCCUCUAAUUAAUAUUUAAAUUUUAAUUUAUCUCAAACAAAUUUAAAUAUUAAUUCUUAUCCAAAUAGGAUUUAACUACAAAUCUAACCAAAUCCUAACACUUACUGUAUUGCUACU